CACAAAAAUAGCCAAUUUGGGAGCUCCUGCCCAUCCCGUGGGCUCCUAAGUCAGUUCUGAAACAUUGGUAAAGCUCCUCCAGGGAAGGCAGAAUCUGUUGCAGUAUAGAAAAAUCAACAGGAGGUCUUCCACCAUCCAAGUGGAAAUUAUUCAUUAUGCUGUAGACCACAAAAGCC